rnacentral:rRNA from 1 species
UACGUAGGUGGCAAGCGUUGUCCGGAUUCACUGGGCGUAAAGCGCGCGCAGGCGGUCUUCUACGUCUGGGGUGAAAACCCGGGGCUCAACCCCGGGACUGCCUUGGAUACGGGAAGACUUGAGGAUCGGAGAGGCAAGGGGAAUUCCACGUGUAGCGGUGAAAUGCGUAGAGAUGUGGAGGAACACCUGUGGCGAAGGCGCCUUGCUGGCCGAUUUCUGACGCUGAGGCGCGAAAGCGUGGGGGAGC